UACGUAGGGUGCGAGCGUUUGUCCGGAAUUAUUGGGCGUAAAGAGCUUGUAGGCGGUUUGUCGCGUCUGCUGUGAAAAUCCGGGGCUCAACCCCGGACUUGCAGUGGGUACGGGCAGACUAGAGUGUGGUAGGGGAGACUGGAAUUCCUGGUGUAGCGGUGAAAUGCGCAGAUAUCAGGAGGAACACCGAUGGCGAAGGCAGGUCUCUGGGCCACUACUGACGCUGAGAAGCGAAAGCGUGGGGAGCGAACAGGAUUAGAAC
rnacentral:rRNA from 1 species